GUUUUCAGGUGCCAAACAGAAUUUCAUGGGUCACCAGUUGAGAACGAAAAAAAAAGUGAAAAAAGUGAUGGAACCCAGGAGUCAUGUCAUCUACUGUGAAAAACGACCAGUGAAUCUAAACAUCUACAAGGAGGUGUACUUGCAGAGAAUCAGAUUCUGGCAGAGAGGCAGAAUUUGGCAUAUCACCUGGACAUAACUCACUGCAGGUUUCAGCAGUGGGCAGGAGCUAGUCAGUGGUGGGAUCACGGGGCCUAAGAGCAUGGAUGUGUUUGUAGAAGGAAGGAGACCAGGUACAUCUAGAAGCCAUUCAGAGGUGGAAUUGCUGGUGUGUUUUGGAUCAUUGUCCUGCUGCAGAACCCACGUUUGUUUUAGCUUGAGGUCACAAACAGAUGGCCGGCAUUCUCCUUCAGGACUUUUUGGUGGACAGCGGAAUUCAUCGUUUAUCAAGUCUUCAAGAUACUGAAGCAGCAAAACAGCCAUCAUAUCACCACCACAUUUUACUGUAGGUAUGAUGUUCUUUUUCUGAAAUGCAGUGUUCUCUUUAAUGUAAUGUCUACUAAGAUAUACUUAAAAUAGUAAUAAGCUUUUAAUUUUUUUUUACUUAUUAUAUGGACUGCUUUUCUACAAGUAUCUACAAGUUCUCUUUAAUGCACUGUAGCAUAAAAAUGUACAACUCUGGCAACUCUUGAGUCUAUGUGGUGUUUCUGUUUCCACUAGAGUAUAACUUUAACCAUCUACAAAAGAGGUUACAUCAUCAAAAGAACCCACUAGACAGAAUUGUUCAAGCUUCCAACAAGGGCUAUAGUGCAUAUUGUUCAUGCUUCUGUAUAGAAUUAUGAUUUUUACUAAAGAAAUAUCCUUUUACGGCAUGGUAUAGAGGAAUGGUAUAUAGUGCUUCACUAUAUACUGUAUUCGCCUUACCUAAAAGGAUUUUUAGGGCCAUAUAGAAGCAUUUUUAAACGUUUAUAACAAUAACUAUGUACAAAAGUAGUAAAAUUAUCUAAAGAAACAAUUUAAAAGAAGCAUUCAAACAUCCAAAGGGGGUUUGAGUACUUCUUGUACAUGCCUCUGUAAAUAGCCAUAAGCUUUACUAAAGAAAUACCCUUUCACUGUCUUCUGCUCAGGAUUGGUAUAGAGUGCUGCACCUGCACACUUCUGCCUGGUAUUAAAGCUCUUAAAGCUAAAUACAGAACCAGAUAAUUAUAAAGAACAAUGAUUAUAAAAAAAAAAUGAAAAUGAAAUAAAGCAUUUCUGCAUCCGCUUCGU